rnacentral:rRNA from 1 species
UCGCCAGACUCCUACGGGAGGCAGCAGUGGGGAAUAUUGCACAAUGGGGGGAACCCUGAUGCAGCGACGCCGCGUGAGUGAAGAAGUAUUUCGGUAUGUAAAGCUCUAUCAGCAGGGAAGAUAAUGACGGUACCUGACUAAGAAGCCCCGGCUAACUACGUGCCAGCAGCCGCGGUAAUACGUAGGGGGCAAGCGUUAUCCGGAUUUACUGGGUGUAAAGGGUGCGUAGGUGGCAGGGCAAGUCAGCGGUAAAAUCGCGGGGCUCAACCUCGCUCCGCCGUUGAAACUGGCGUUCUUGAGUGGGCGAGAAGUAUGCGGAAUGCGUGGUGUAGCGGUGAAAUGCAUAGAUAUCACGCAGAACUCCGAUUGCGAAGGCAGCAUACCGGCGCCCAACUGACGCUGAAGCACGAAAGCGUGGGUAUCGAACAGGAUUAGAUACCCUAGUAUAC